rnacentral:snoRNA from 2 species
UGGAUGAUGAAGCCCUUAAAUAUGAUCGGUGAUAAAGGCCCGUGUUACUGAU